CAGUCGCCGCGGUAAUACAGAGGAUGCAAGCGUUAUCCGGAAUGAUUGGGCGUAAAGCGUGCGCAGGCGGUUAUGUAAGACAGGUGUGAAAUCCCCGGGCUUAACCUGGGAACUGCGCUUGUGACUGCACAGCUAGAGUAUGGCAGAGGGGGGUGGAAUUCCACGUGUAGCAGUGAAAUGCGUAGAGAUGUGGAGGAACACCGAUGGCGAAGGCAGCCCCCUGGGCCAAUACUGGCGCUCAUGCACGAAAGCGUGGGGAGCAAACAGGAUUAGAUACCCGCGUAGUCCCUGUCUCUUAUAC
rnacentral:rRNA from 1 species